GACUGUGUGGCCUAAUGGGUAAGGUGUCUGCCUUUGGAUAAAUAGAUUGGGGGUUCAAGUCCCUUUGUGGUUG
rnacentral:tRNA from 1 species